CAGGCUCUGGGAAGUUUCUACUUUAUCCACGAGUCAUUGAAAAACAUCCAGCAGUUUGAUUUCAAAGCCAAGAAAUUCAAGAAGGUCUUGGGGAAGGAAACGUACUCAGAGACACUAGAAAGCACCCCCUCGCUGGAGAAGGAGAAGUUUCCCCAGGACUACUUCCCUGAGUGCAAGUGGUCCAGAAAGGGAUUCAUCAGGACUCGAUGGGCCCUGGCAGACUGGUGAGUU